UGGAUCCAGACUUUGAUUCUGGCUCAGGACGAACACUGGCGGCGUGCCUAACACAUGCAAGUCGAACGGAACUUUUUCAGAAGAUUCUUUCGGGAUGAUUUUGGUUAAGUUUAGUGGCGGACGGGUGAGUAACGCGUGAGUAACCUGCCUUUGAGAGGGGAAUAACAAUCUGAAAAGAUUGCUAAUACCGCAUAACAUAUGUUUGUCGCAUGGCAGAUAUAUCAAAGAUUUUAUCGCUCAAAGAUGGACUCGCGUCCGAUUAGUUAGUUGGUGAGGUAACGGCUCACCAAGACCGCGAUCGGUAGCCGGACUGAGAGGUUGAACGGCCACAUUGGGACUGAGACACGGCCCAGACUCCUACGGGAGGCAGCAGUGGGGAUAUUGCGCAAUGGGGGCAACCCUGACGCAGCAACGCCGCGUGAAGGAUGAAGGUUUUCGGAUUGUAAACUUCCUUUAUUAAGGACGAAAUUUGACGGUACUUAAUGAAUAAGCUCCGGCUAACUACGUGCCAGCAGCCGCGGUAAUACGUAGGGAGCAAGCGUCGUCCGGAUUUACUGGGUGUAAAGGGUGCGUAGGCGGCUUUGCAAGUCAGAUGUGAAAUCUAUGGGCUCAACCCAUAAACUGCAUUUGAAACUGUAGAGCUUGAGUGAAGUAGAGGCAGGCGGAAUUCCCCGUGUAGCGGUGAAAUGCGUAGAGAUGGGGAGGAACACCAGUGGCGAAGGCGGCCUGCUGGGCUUUAACUGACGCUGAGGCACGAAAGCGUGGGUAGCAAACAGGAUUAGAUACCCUGGUAGUCCACGCUGUAAACGAUGAUUACUAGGUGUGGGGGGUCUGACCCCCUCCGUGCCGGAGUUAACACAAUAAGUAAUCCACCUGGGGAGUACGGCCGCAAGGUUGCAACUCAAAGGAAUUGA
rnacentral:rRNA from 1 species